GUCUCCCGGAUCACAUAUCCCGUAUGGUAUCACCAUCGGACUCGCCACAUCAUGCCACGUCAUCUUCAACACUGAAUGGUGCAAAUUCGAUGAGUUCGUUGUAUGUUCAAUUGUAAGUUGAACGUUUUUUAAAAAAAGUUUGAAAUUAUACCUGAAAUAAGACAUGGAAUAUUCAGAAUACUACAAGAGGCUAUAAAAAACGAAAAGAAAAAAGAAAGAUUCAACUUUUAAUAACUUAUCAAAUUAUAGCGUAUUAAUUGAAAACAUUACGAUAAUAUUUGAAGUUAGAUUUUUGAAUUUUAGACAUUUUUGAGCAUUUUUUAUAAAACGCUCCACAUUUGCUCUAUUUUAAAGCACGAUAUUCACUUUUUCAGGGACCGAAUCUACGGGAAACACGAUCUUUUCGCAAAUGAUGAAUAUCAAUCAUGGCAUGAGAAAUAUCGUCAUAAUACGCUUUCAACGAAACAGGUCAAGAAGCAGGACGCUAUUUUUGG
rnacentral:sRNA from 1 species